rnacentral:rRNA from 1 species
CCUACGGGAGGCAGCAGUGGGGAAUAUUGCGCAAUGGGCGCAAGCCUGACGCAGCGACGCCGCGUGCGGGAUGAAGGUCUUCGGAUCGUAAACCUCUGUCAGCAGGGAAGAACGGUCACUGUGCUAAUCAGCAGUGAAUUGACGGUACCUGCAAAGGAAGCACCGGCUAACUCCGUGCCAGCAGCCGCGGUAAUACGGAGGGUGCGAGCGUUAAUCGGAAUUACUGGGCGUAAAGCGCGCGUAGGCGGUAGGUCAAGUCAGGGGUGAAAUCCCCGGGCUCAACGUGGGAAUUGCCUUUGAUACUGGUAAACUAGAGUGUGUGUGCGGAUAGUGGAAUGCCAGGUGUAGGAGUGAAAUCCGUAGAUAUCUGGAGGAACAUCAGUGGCGAAGGCGACUAUCUGGCACAUAACUGACGCUGAGGAGCGAAAGCGUGGGUAGCAAACAGGAUUAGAUACCCUUGUAGUC